rnacentral:rRNA from 1 species
UACGUAGGGUGCAAGCGUUGUCCGGAUUUAUUGGGCGUAAAGAGUUCGUAGGUGGUUUGUUAAGUCUGAUGUUAAAGACUGGGGCUCAACCCUGGGAGUGCAUUGGAUACUGGCAGACUGGAGUACAGUAGAGGCAAGCGGAAUUCCCAGUGUAGCGGUGAAAUGCGUAGAUAUUGGGAAGAACACCGGUGGCGCAAGCGGCUUGCUGGGCUGUAACUGACGCUGAGGAACGAAAGCUAGGGUAGCGAAUGGG